CACGUAGUUAGCCGGGGCUUCUUAGUCAGGUACCGUCAUUUUCGUCCCUGCUGAUAGAAGUUUACAUACCGAAAUACUUCUUCCUUCACGCGGCGUCGCUGCAUCAGGGUUUCCCCCAUUGUGCAAUAUUCCCCACUGCUGCCUCCCGUAGGAGUUUGGGCCGUGUCUCAGUCCCAAUGUGGCCGUUCACCCUCUCAGGCCGGCUACUGAUCGUCGCCUUGGGUCGGGCCGUUACCUCACCAACCAGCUAAUCAGACGCGGGUCCAUCUCAUACCACCGGAGUUUUUCACACUGUUCCAUGCGAAACCGUGCGCUUAUGCGGUAUUAGCAGUCUAUUUCUAACUUGUUACUUCCCCCUGUAUGAGGCAGGUUACCCACGCGUUACUCACCCGUCCGCCACUCAGUACAAAGAAGCCUUACGAAACCGAAGUAAUCCGUCUUUCAGUUCG
rnacentral:rRNA from 1 species